UAACGACUGUGCUCCCGUUAACCGAGACCUAUGGGAGGGUAAAUCACGUCUCUCAUAUCCACACUAGAGGGUGGUGUGGGUGAGAUUUAUAAAU
rnacentral:ncRNA from 1 species